GAUGAACGCUGGCGGCGUGCCUAAUACAUGCAAGUCGAGCGAACAGAUGAGGAGCUUGCUCCUCUGACGUUAGCGGCGGACGGGUGAGUAACACGUGGAUAACCUACCUAUAAGACUGGGAUAACUUCGGGAAACCGGAGCGAAUACCGGACAAUAUAUUGAACCGCAUGGUUCAAUAGUGAAAGACGGUUUUGCUGUCACUUAUAGAUGGAUCCGCGCCGCAUUAGCUAGUUGGUAAGGUCACGGCCUACCAAGGCAACGAUGCGUAGCCCACCUGAGAGGGUGAUCGGCCGCACGGGAGCUGAGACGCGGUCCCGGCUCCUACGGGAGGCAGCAGUAGGGAAUCUUCCGCAGUAGUCGGGAGCCUGGCGGAGCAACGCCGCGUGUGUGAUGAAGGUCUUCGGAUCGUAAAGCUCUGUUAUUAGGGAAGAACAAAUGUGUAAGUAACUGUGCACGUCUUGACGGUACCUAAUCAGAAAGCCACGGCUAACUACGUG
rnacentral:rRNA from 1 species